rnacentral:rRNA from 1 species
UUCGAUUCUGGCUCAGGAUGAACGCUAGCUACAGGCUUAACACAUGCAAGUCGAGGGGCAGCAUUGGAGUAGCAAUACUCAGAUGGCGACCGGCGCACGGGUGAGUAACACGUAUCCAACCUGCCGCUUACUCGGGGAUAGCCUUUACGAAAGAAAGAUUAAUACCCGAUGGUAUAAAGAGUUCGCAUGUUCUCUUUAUUAAAGAAUUUCGGUAGGCGAUGGGGAUGCGUUCCAUUAGAUAGUUGGCGGGUAACGGCCCACCAAGUCUACGAUGGAUAGGGGUUCUGAGAGGAAGGUCCCCCACAUUGGAACUGAGACACGGUCCAAACUCCUACGGGAGGCAGCAGUGAGGAAUAUUGGUCAAUGGACGAGAGUCUGAACCAGCCAAGUAGCGUGAAGGAUGACUGCCCUAUGGGUUGUAAACUUCUUUUAUAAGGGAAUAAAGUGAGGGACGUGUCCCUUUUUGUAUGUACCUUAUGAAUAAGGAUCGGCUAACUCCGUGCCAGCAGCUGC